UAAAUGAAAAUGUUUACUUUUAUUUAAAAUUCAGUAAAUCUUACUAACAACUAAAGGGUAAUGCUACAUUGCUUUAUUACCAAAAAUAUUUUUUUAAAAAAUUUUCUCUCCUAAGGAUGGAACAAAAAUGUAAUCUAAUUCUUCUCUCCAAGGUUAUCUUGAUCUUUCAUUUUAUUCUUGUUUGCAUUUGCUCCCACUACCACUCUUAUUAGAAUGUUUACUUCCUCUUUUUGAUAAGAAACAUUAAUUACAUUUUAAGCGAAAGUUUUGUCUGAGGAGGAAGGAUAAAAUGCUAUCAAGGAAACAAGUAGGCGGAGAACUCUGUUACCCUGGGGGAGGCGGCCGGGGCAUCUGGCAUGGGUGCUUUGCACAUGGGUAAGAAAGAAAACCCUGGCUCUUGAGGGAUGUGGAAGUUCUCAGCCUAUGCACAUCUAUACAGUAGAGCCGAAAUAAAAUUAAUUCAGUAAUAACAUCAUGCUGUUUAUACUGCUCAUCCCUCUGUAUUUUGGCUGGCCUUCUGGGCUUCCUCCUCUCUGGUUCUACGCGCACGGUGAGGAGACUGCAUAAGUAAAUGCUUUAAGGCAGACCCUUAAUGGUUCUAUGCCUUUAAAAAUUAAAAUAAAUAAAUAAAUAAAAUAAAUAAAUAAACAGUACUCACUUGGAAUACAAUUUCUCAGACAAACAUCUUCAAUAGCGAGAAUUCACAGUAAAAUACCAAUAUUUAAAAUUUUAAAAAAUGAACAGAAUUAACAAGCCUUCCUUGUAAGAUUUAAUUGAUUUUCCAUGUUGAAUCCAUUAUUUAUUAAAAAACGUUCCACUUUCCUUCAAAGUAAAUAAAUUAAAAAAAUAUAACAGAAAGGACAUUAAUUUCCACAUUUUUCUUGAUCCAAAGCAUUGAUAAAUAGCAACAAAUAUUGUUAAACUUCAACACACUGCAGGCCUCAAAAAGUAAUCUAACAAUUGAACAGAUAUUGUGCUGUAUUGAGUGAUUGAUUACCUUUUAAAGGAAAUCCUUGACAUUUUGUUACAAAAUUUUAUCUUUGCAAAUAUAUUGUGACUGACUUAUGAAACAGGCUCUCCUUUAUCCUCGUGGCAUUUUAUUUCAAUCUACUGUCUACUCUUGAAAGAGAUAGGACUACAUUUAUUAAGAUGUAGUAAAUCAUUGAAUUUUUAUGAAAAGUCAUAUGAACUUAUAUUAUUGCAUUUAUUGAAUUUUCACUUGUUUUAUUUAAAACGUAGUAUAUUAGUACAUCAGGAUGGGUAUGUUGAACAAAUGUACGGUUAAAUAUACGAAUGAUGUGGCAAACUUGAAAGUUUCAUUGUUUGUGUUUUAAUAACAUUUUCCUUUCUUAUUAACAAUGUGCCAAUAAAAUAAUUUCAGUGUCAA